GACGUAGGGCGCGAGCGUUGUCCGGAUUUAUUGGGCGUAAAGAGCUCGUAGGCGGCUUGUUGCGUCGGCUGUGAAAACCCGCGGCUUAACCGUGGGCUUGCAGCCGAUACGGGCAGGCUAGAGUUCGGUAGGGGAGACUGGAAUUCCUGGUGUAGCGGUGAAAUGCGCAGAUAUCAGGAGGAACACCGAUGGCGAAGGCAGGUCUCUGGGCCAUUCUUGACGCUGAGGCGCGAAAGCUAGGGGAGCAAACGGG
rnacentral:rRNA from 1 species